AUGGAGGGGCCGCCGGCGGGUGUGGAUGAGGAGAUCCACCACAGACAACCCGAGGUGAGAUGGGAAAAAGAUGCAAGGUCAGAUGUGGAUGGGGUUAUUCGCCUGUCCAUGCUGCUAUUACAGAGGCGGACGCCGUGGCUGCCGUUUCAUCCGCACACGCAUUGGCCAUCCCAGAAUGUGACCCUAUGCGUGGUGGUGGGGUAUGAUCUGAUCAAGGUCUCCGAGCAGCUCUGCAAAUCAGACUUGGAUAUCCCGAUUAAAAGAUGUGCAUCACAUGUCAAUAAGAUCCACACUAAACAUAGCAUGUCCAUCAGAGGAGCAAAUGUUGUUUAUCACCGCAUCUCUUCACAUGUUGGCAAGCCUGAUAUCUAUGAAAGCACUAUACAAGGUGGUGGCGCCGUACCUGCUUGGUGCGGACAGGAGAAGAUGCAGGGGUUCCGCUUCUCGGCCUCGGCGACAUCAUCGUGCCCCUCCACCGCUGGUUUUGUUGCUCAGGCGGCACUACCGCUCUACUAUGGCAGGCCUGCUUGUUGCUCAGAUCAAAUGAAGUUCAUUAGGAGGGACGCAAAACAACCAGGCAUGACCUACCGCUUCGCUCCUAACCGCUUGAGCAAGGCAAUGGGAGAGGCGAACACAACUACCUGCCUCCUUCCUUGGGGCAACACCGUUGGUCCCUGCCACCUCCGUCGUCUGCUCCGGUCUACAGAAAAAUCAAGGAUCAGUUCAAUGGGAGUUGGACUGACGAAAAGACUUGUUUGA
rnacentral:rRNA from 1 species